rnacentral:rRNA from 1 species
GAUGAACGCUAGCGGCAGGCUUAACACAUGCAAGUCGAGGGGGUAUAGUUCUUCGGAACUAGAGACCGGCGCACGGGUGCGUAACGCGUAUGCAAUCUACCUUUUGCAGAGGGAUAGCCCAGAGAAAUUUGGAUUAAUACCUCAUAGUAUAGCAGUUUCGCAUGAAACCACUAUUAAAGUCACAACGGCAAAAGAUGAGCAUGCGUCCCAUUGGCUAGUUGGUAAGGUAACGGCUUACCAAGGCUACGAUGGGUAGGGGUCCUGAGAGGGAGAUCCCCCACACUGGUACUGAGACACGGACCAGACUCCUACGGGAGGCAGCAGUGAGGAAUAUUGGGACAAUGGGCGCAAGCCUGAACCAGCCAUGCCGCGUGCAGGAAGACGGUCCUAUGGAUUGUAAACUGCUUUUAUACAGGAAGAAACCCUCCCACGUGUGGGAGCUUGACGGUACUGUAGGAAUAAGGAUCGGCUAACUCCGUGCCAGCAGCCGCGGUAAAG